GGCUCAGUAACACGUAGUCAAUCUAACCUAUGGACGGGGAUAACCUCGGGAAACUGAGAAUAAUACCCGACAGAUCAUUAUGCCUGGAAUGGUUUAUGGUUCAAAUGAAUUUCGCCAUAGGGUGGGACUGCGGUCUAUCAGCUUGUUGGUGAGGUAAUGGCCCACCAAGGCUAUAACAGAUACGGACUCUGAGAGGAGAGGCCCGGAGAUGGGUACUGAGACACGGACCCAGGCCCUAUGGGGCGCAGCAGGCGAGAAAACUUUGCAAUGUGCGAAAGCACGACAAGGUUAAUCCGAGUGGUUCCUGCUAAAGGAAUCUUUUGUUAGUCAUAACACCACUGAUGAAUAAGGGGUGGGCAAGUUCUGGUGUCAGCCGCCGCGGUAAAACCAGCACCUCAAGUGGUCAGGAGGAUUAUUGGGCCUAAAGCAUCCGUAGCCGGCUCUGUAAGUUUUCGGUUAAAUCUAUGUGCUUAACAUAUGGGCUGCCGAGAAUACUGCAAAGCCAGGGAGUGGGAGAGGUAGACGGUACUCCGUAGGAAGGGGUAAAAUCCUUUGAUCUAUGGAUGACCACCUGUGGCGAAGGCGGUCUACCAGAACACGUCCGACGGUGAGGGAUGAAAGCUGGGGGAGCAAACCGGAUUAGAUACCCGGGUAGUCCCCAGCUGUAAACGAUGCAAACUCAGUGAUGCAUUGGCUUGUGGCCAGUGCAGUGCCGCAGGGAAGCCGUUAAGUUUGCCGCCUGGGAAGUACGUACGCAAGUAUGAAACUUAAAGGAAUUGGCGGGGGAGCACCACAAGGGGUGAAGCCUGCGGUUCAAUUGGAGUCAACGCCAGAAAUCUUACCCGGAGAGACAGCAGAAUGAAGGUCAAGCUGAAGACUUACCAGACAAGCUGAGAAGUGGUGCAUGGCCGUCGCCAGCUCGUGCCGUGAGAUGUCCUGUUAAGUCAGGUAACGAGCGAGAUCCUUGCCUCUAGUUGCCACCAUUACUCUCAGGAGUAGUGGGGCGAAUUAGCGGGACUGCCGUAGUUAAUACGGAGGAAGGAAAGGGCCACGGCAGGUCAGUAUGCCCUGAAACUUUGGGGCCACACGCGGGCUGCAAUGGUAGUGACAAUGGGUUCCGAAUCCGAAAGGUGGAGGUAAUCCUCAAACGCUACCACAGUUAUGACUGAGGGCUGCAACUCGCCCUCACGAAUAUGGAAUCCCUAGUAACUGCGCGUCA
rnacentral:rRNA from 1 species